rnacentral:rRNA from 1 species
GACGAACGCUGGCGGCGUGCUUAACACAUGCAAGUCGAACGGAAAGGCCCCUUUGGGGGUACUCGAGUGGCGAACGGGUGAGUAACACGUGAGUAACCUGCCCUUGACUUCGGGAUAACUUCAGGAAACUGGGGCUAAUACCGGAUAGGAAUCCUUGCUGCAUGGUGGGGGUUGGAAAGCUUCGGCGGUUUUGGAUGGACUCGCGGCGUAUCAGCUUGUUGGUGGGGUAGUGGCUUACCAAGGCUUUGACGGGUAGCCGGCCUGGGAGGGCGACCGGCCACAUUGGGACUGAGAUACGGCCCAGACUCCUACGGGAGGCAGCAGUGGGGAAGAUUGCACAAUGGGCGGAAGUCUGAUGCAGCAACGCCGCGUGCGGGAUGACGGCCUUCGGGUUGUAAACCGCUUUCAGCAGGGGCGAAGCUUGUGGUGACGGUACCUGCAGAAGAAGCACCGGCUAACUACGUG